CAGCGGCGUUGGCUCCCGGAUCAUCCAGCGGGAUGUCUAGAAUAUCGUCGUCUGGUUUGGAGCAGGCGCUCUCCUGAGGAUGGAACAGGGGUUCUUAAGGCUGAUAAGGCCCAGAUUAUGAGGGCGUGGGUUUCAGGGGGCUGCGGAGUUGAAUGACCGGUGAAUCUGGAAGGGCAGAGAAAGAGCAGCCGGCGCUUCUGAAAGUGACCACCCUUUGCUCUGAGAAGAUGCCUCCAGCUCAGAAGGGCCUUUCUGUGUACAGGAUUCCCCAGGGAGUGGACACGAAUAUCUGCUACAGAGCUGCCCUCCCACCCCAUAGUACUGCACCAGAGCUCAAGAAUUUCAGAAGAUGGGCCACUGCUCCUUGAUUCAGUCAGAGAGGCCUGGAAUCUGUGUUUCCACUGAGCUUACCAUUUCCUACUGUGCCCCAAGUUGAACUCAAACACCAGAAAGAGGUAAAAAACAGUAACAGAAAAGGAAACAUAAGACAAGAAGUCCUUUAGUCAGUGUCCUCAUGGGAAGGAAAGAGUUAGGCCAAUGGCUACACUGAAGCAUUGAAGCUUACCUUGCCCCAGGACCAACAGCUGUGUUUUCCGGGCAUUUUAGUUCUUUUGAGACAGGGUUUCUCUGUGAAAUAGUCCUGGCUGUCCUGGAACUCACUGAGACCCACCUGUCUCUGCCUCUGAGUGCUGGGAUUAAAGGCCAGUGCCACCACUGCCCAGCUCACUCUUUCAUUCUUAUUUGAGUUUAUCAUGAUGUCAUUGAUGAUUAGAAUGUCAAAAGCAAAGCAAAGCAAAACAAAACCUACCUGGGGUCCCAGGCACUUAUCAGUAGCUGGUAGAUUUGAACCUUGGAUGUCAAGUUCUAGAGUUUAUUUUAAUGCCUAAGAAAGGAAAUGCAACCAGCUGCAUAGCUAAGUUGUACUCUUUGCUGUAUUGGUGUGGUUUGGGGGAGUUAUCUGAGCAUCCCCAGGCUUAACUGGUUCAUUUGAGGAAAUGAGGAUGAUAUAAUCACCUCUACGGGUUCUGCAGAAGAGUAAAUUGCAUGGCAUCCAGUGGCAUAAUCUAUUGAUCAGCAAACAAUAGCUAUGCUCUGAUUGUCUUGAAAAACAAUAAGGUGAUGUAAAAUGAUUAUGUAAGUCCAAAGUGGUCCUAUAACAACAACCUUGCACAGCUUUUCCUAAUAAUAUGUCAUGUGCUAUGCGAUGGUUUAGUCAAUGAUACAUACUAUAUAUGAUGGCAGUCCUACAUGAUCAUUUCAACUAGUGAUGCCAAAACCAUCUUAGCUUUGUAAAUAUACCCUGUAAUGCUUGCACCAUUAUGAAGUUGUCUAAACACAUUUCUCAGAACAUAUUCCAUCAUUAAGGAAUGUGUGAUGUAAUUAAAGCCAAUGUUCCUUCUC